rnacentral:lncRNA from 1 species
CUUCAGACCUACUUGGAGAGGCUGGGGGGAAUCGCAGUCCAGGGGAUUCUGAUACACAAUGAAAUCUGAGGUCCAUUGGUGUAGGGCAUGAAGAAGGCCCCUGUUCUCACUUCAUUCUUCCUGCCCAGGUGGAUGCCCCGUCCCACUGGCAGCCCCAGCAAAGGCUACUUGGGGUCUGCACCUCAAACACAUUUCCUUCAGCCUAAAAGAAAACUUCUAAAGCAUGAGCAGCGAAACUGGAGAGUGGAUCCCUCGUCACAUCUCAGGGCUCGAUUUGUUUGAAGGGCUGAACAUCUUUUUAUGCAAGAAAACAAGGAAGUUCUCAAAGGAUGACAGGGAUGUGUACAAAAUACAAAGCCAA